UACGAAGGGGGCGAGCGUUGUUCGGAAUUACUGGGCGUAAAGCGUAUGUAGGCGGUCGAAAAAGUCAGAAGUGAAAGCCCCGGGCUCAACCUGGGAACUGCUUUUGAAACUUUUUGACUAGAGUCCCGGAGAGGUUGGCGGAAUUCCGAGUGUAGAGGUGAAAUUCGCAGAUAUUCGGAGGAACACCAGUGGCGUAAGCGGCCAACUGGACGGGAACUGACGCUGAGGUACGAAAGCGUGGGGAUCAAACAGG
rnacentral:rRNA from 1 species